GGCACUUUGGCGGAGUGGUUAACGCGAUGCCCUGCUAUUCUCUACUGAAUAUCGUGAGGCAUUUCCUUCGGGAGCGUGUGUUCGAAUCACACAGGUGUCG